rnacentral:lncRNA from 1 species
UCCCAGGAGGUUGAUAACACUUUUAUUACAUCAGAUGGUACAUCACCGUACAACUCUUCGCGGUAAUGGGCAGUGAAGCGCCACUAUCGCGAGGAUUACAACGAAAACCCACACUACUACACUGGCUACGAAAAGAGAGUCAUCAGAGUCUUGCGCCAUGCGGAGUUCCAACAGUGGCCUCAACCACAGGCAAGACUGGGUGCAGGACGGAACCCUACUCGACGUCUUCGGCGAU